UUUUGACCCACUAGGUUCAUAUCAAUAUAUAAAGUGAAAAAUGCUAAAAAAGUUCUUUUACACAGGAAUCCACGUAUACAAUCUUCUUAGGAGAAUAACAUUAGGAGAGAUAAAUAUACUAUACAGUAUACAUUGCAAACAUGAGUAAAUCAGUACUCGAGAAUGUUUCUAAUAACCAGGAAACCGCUUUAUGGUUGCAACCUACCAUUCCACAGGCCAUCUCGUAGUACCACUACAGCAAAACACAGAGAACUAUGUUUCGAGCGAUGAUGCAUCAACCCACUUGAUUCUCUUCUUCUGCUUUGUUGGUUUCACUCCCCCACCACUUUCCUUCAUUAGGGAUCCUUCUAUCCCUUGGUGAAGCGGAGUUUCCAUUCAAAUGUUAGAGUCUCUAUCAGGAACUGAAGAUCAUGGCAUCAAAUCAAAAUUUGCUUCCAAUAGAGAAUGAACUUCAGACAGGGAAGACACCUUGAAAUCUGGUUCUACAUCCAAGCUGGUGAAAUCAGCAGAACCGUAUCUCUCUUUUUCAUCAAGUAAGCAUGUGAAUGCUCCAGCUCGUUUCCCACAAGCAACAUCAUCUUUAAGGCUAUCACCAACCAUCAUGACUUCAUUAGGCUGAAAUUCCCAAGUUGAACAGAUAUGCAGGAGAGGAGCUGGGUCUGGUUUACAAGGACGGAACUCCCUGCUUAAUGCUGGAGAAAACAUCAUCCCAGACCGUAAAUGAAAAAGAUCAACCGCCUCCUUGACAUUUCGAGUAAUUAAACCCCUUCUUAUUUUCUUUGAAUCGAGAAACUCACACAGCUCUACUGCGCCGGGCAUAAUUCGGAGGCGAUCGAGGCCCUGGCGCUCAAAAUCACGGAUGAUCCCAUAAGCUUUGCGCUGUUUAUCGGGACUCCACCUCUCAAUGUGAUGCAAGAUAUCAAUCCCAGAAGGAUUCUCUGCUUUAAUUCUGCGAUACUCGUCAUUUCCGAGAACUGCCUUAUACAUUGCGGCAAAAUCGAUAACGGGGACCGUUAGGGUUCCGUCCAUGUCGAAGACGACACCUCUUAAACGAGCUCUGGUGGUAUUGACCGUGGUAGAGUGAGAAAUGGGACAUGGAGAUUUACGCUGCAUGAAGAGGAAGGAUUUGCAAAGAAGCGAGGACAUGGGAAGAAAAGAUAGAGAAGGAUAAGGAGUGGAGGCUAGAGUUACUCAACUCGCCAGAGGAAAGCGGCGACAGCGAAGGGCAGAUACUUUCUUUUUUUUUCACUAAGGACAGACACUCGGAGUCGGAGGGAACAAAGAGUGAAGAAAUUAUUAAUUUAAUCCCUAAAUUUUAUCUCUAAUGCUGUUUAAUCUCUGACUGACUUUCCUUCCGUCAAAAUUAAACUCCCUCUGUCUCAAAUUGCCCUUAAUUUAGAAAAAAAGACAAAAAUUCCAUUAAUUUAAUUAUUAAAUUAACCCAAAUUUCUCUCCUCUUUCCACUUUUUCAACUUCUUCCGUUCUUCAAAAGAAGUUCGCAGGCAAUAACAAAUUCAAACAAUUACAUCAAUUACCCAAACUGAUUACGCAUCAUGAACAAGAAUAAAUUCCAGCAAUUACCAACAAAAUCAUCCAGCAAAUCCAUCCAUUCUCCAGCAAUUACCCAACAAUGUAAUUAUCAAUCAAAGUACAAGUAUGAACAUCAAACCAUUCUCCAAGUCAAUGCAUGCAUAUCGAAACACCAAUAGAAAAGAGUAGUUGCUACCCGUCCUUGCAUUCAAACCGGCCAAAGUGGCUAUGGCAGCUCUGUCAUGCGUCGAAGCUUAAAGGAGUAAAGGCUUUUAAGUGGAUUGUAGAAGUAUAAAGCAGAGUGAAUGAUGGACGUUGUGCAUGGAGAAGGGAAAUGGUUGCAGCGGUGGGGAAAAGAGAAAAAAAUAAAAUAAAAUUAAAUCAAAGGAGAGCGAAUGGGGAGGAUAACUUCUC
rnacentral:misc_RNA from 1 species